AUCUGGAUAGCUCAGCUGGUUAAAAUGUGGUGCUCAUAAUGCCACGGUUGCAAGUUUGAUCCCUGUGUGGGACA